rnacentral:rRNA from 1 species
UACGGGGGGAGCAAGCGUUGUUCGGAAUUACUGGGCGUAAAGCGCACGUAGGCGGAUCUUUAAGUCAGGGGUGAAAUCCUGGAGCUCAACUCCAGAACUGCCUUUGAUACUGGGGAUCUCGAGUCCGGGAGAGGUGAGUGGAACUCCGAGUGUAGAGGUGAAAUUCGUAGAUAUUCGGAAGAACACCAGUGGCGAAGGCGGCUCACUGGCCCGGUACUGACGCUGAGGUGCGAAAGCGUGGGGAGCAAACAGG